UGUGGGAGCUGGCUUGCCUGCGAUAGCGGCGGGUCAGCCAACUAAUCUGUGUUUGAUGUACCGCUAUCGCAGGCAAGCCAGCUCCCACA
rnacentral:antisense_RNA from 1 species